ensembl:snRNA U2 U2 spliceosomal RNA
AUCGCUUCUCGGCCUUUUGGCUAAGAUCAAGUGUAGUAUCUGUUCUUAUCAGUUUAAUAUCUGAUACGUCCCCUACCCGGGGACUACUUUUGUGGGAAGUUGU